rnacentral:rRNA from 1 species
GGCCUGGCUGGGCGGUCCGCCUUUUGGGUGAGUACUGCCUGUGGUCGGGUCCUACCUUCUGGCGAAGCGUCAUGGCCUUAACCGGCCGUGGCGGAGAACCAGGACUUUUACUGUGAAAAAAUUAGAGUGUUCAAAGCAGGCACGCGCUUGAAUACAUUAGCAUGGAAUAAUGGAAUAGGACAGUGGUUCUAUUUGUUGGUUUCUAGGACCGUUGUA